AAAUCGGCUUCUUCCUGAUGUUUUAGAAGCAUUAAUGUGUACUCGUGAUUGGCUUUGGGCAAAAUUUCAUCAAGAAGAUUCCUCUACAGCUACAUCGUAUUAUUGAUCUUCGUUGGAUGAUGAUGAUGAAGGUGGCAUCAUUGAUGUUGAUGAGGAAUAAUAUAUAAUUUGCCAACGCAUCUUGGAGGAUUGACUAAUGACGAGGAGGCUAAGCGAAUGUUGUAUUAGAUAACUUAUUUAAAUUUUAAUGUAACAUUUUGAUAUCUAGAAAUUGUAC